GUCAAGUAAGAAUACCCGCUGAACUUAAGCAUAUCAAUAAGCGGAGGAAAAGAAACUAACAAGGAUUCCCUCAGUAACGGCGAGUGAACCGGGAAAAGCUCAAAUUUAAAAUCGCCUGGGUUUACCUGAGUGAGUUGUAAUUUGAAGAAAGUGUUUCGACUUUUCGGGUUUGAUCCAAAUCCUUUGGGAUGAGGUAUCAUAGAGGGUGAGAAUCCCGUUCAUGAUUGAACCUGAGUUGUCAAUUGAUUCAUUUUCUAAGAGUCGAGUUGUUUGGGAUUGCAGCUCAAAAUGGGUGGUAAAUUUCACCUAAGGCUAAAUAUCUGCAAGAGACCGAUAGCGAACAAGUACCGUGAGGGAAAGAUGAAAAGAACUUUGAAAAGAGAGUUAAAAAGUACGUGAAAUUGUUGAAAGGGAAACGAUUGAAGUCAGUCAUGCUAGCGAGGAAUCAACUUGGUGGUGUGAGUCUCUCAUCUCCUCCGUGUGCACUUCCUCGUCUGGCAGGUUAGCAUCAAUUUUGAUUGUCAUCAAAUAAUUGGGGUAAUGUGGCUUCGCUUCGGUGGAGUGUUAUAGACCCUGGUGGAUGUGGCGAUUGGGAUUGAGGAUUGCAGCGGAUGCCUCUUGGGCUAGUCACCUGAUUCCUGGCUGUCACCUCGCUUUCGACAGCUUGCUGACGAUUGUGGGACUCGGCGGUCUAGAAGUUAGAGUGAUCUUAAAUUCGCUAAGGAUGCUGACGUAAUGGCUUUAAACGACCCGUCUUGAAACACGGACCAAGGAGUCUAACAUGUGUGCGAGUGUU
rnacentral:rRNA from 1 species